ensembl:snRNA U6 U6 spliceosomal RNA
GUGCUUGUUUAAUAGCAUCUAUAUUAAAAUAAGAACCAUACAGAGAUUAGUAGGGCCCCUAAGCAAGGAUAAUACAAAUUCAUGAAGUUAUCUAUAUUUUU